rnacentral:lncRNA from 1 species
CUGAAAUUCAUCCAUGACAGUUGAAUCUACUUUCUUCCAAACUACUGUUAAUGUUGAUAUUUUUACCUCCUUCUAUGAAUCCGCAAGACAAACUAUCGACAGAGUAAACAAACAAUCUACAGAAUGGGAGAAAAUAUUUGCAAACUAUUCAUCUGACGAAGGACUAAUAUCCAGCAUCUAUAAGGAAUUUAGACAAAUGUAGGAGAAAAAAACUAACAACCUCAUUAAUAAGGAGCUGAACAAACACUUUUCAAAAGAAGACAUACAUGCUUAUGAGAAGCAUAUGAAAAAAAGCUAAGCAUCACUGACCAUUAGAGGAAUGCAGAUGAAAACCACGAUGAGAUACCAUCUCAAACCACCCAGAAUGGCUAUCAUUAGAAAGUCAAAAAAUAACAGAUGCUGGCGAGAUUGUGGAGAAAAGGGAACACUUACACACUGUGGUAUUAUUCAACUACUGUAAAUUAGUUCAACCAGUGUGGAAAGCAGUAUGGCAAUUCCCCAAAGGGCUAAAAACAGAACUACCAUUUGACUCAGCAAUCCCGUUACCGGGUGUGUACCCAGAGGAAUAAAAAUCAUUCUAUGAUAAAGACACAUGCAUGCAAAUGUUCAUUGCAGCACAAUUCACAAUAGCAAAGACAUGGAAUUAACAUAAACAUCCAUCAGUGACAGAUUGGAUAAAUAAAAUGUGGUAUAUUUACACCAUGGAAUACUAUGCAGCCAUAGUAUUUUUGUGGAAACAUGGAUGAAGCUGGAGACUAUUAUCCUUAGCAAACUAAUGCAGGAACAGAAAACCAAACACCACAUAUUCUCUCUUAUAAGUGGGAGCUAAAAAUUACACCCAUGAAUACAAAGAAGGAAACAGCAGACACUGGGGUCUACCUGAGGGUAGAGGGUGGGAGGAGGGAGAGGAGCAGAAAAGAUGACUAUUGGGUAGUGGGCUUAAUACCUGGGUGAAGAAAUAAUCCUUACAGCAAACCCCUGUGACAUGAAUUCACCUAUGUAAGAAGGCUUCACAUGUACCCUUGAAUCUAAAAUAAAAGUUUCAAAAAAUUUUUUC